CUAGGACAAGUUCUAGGUAGCUAAUCUAGAAGCAUGCAUUAAUGACAAUCCUAAAGAUGAAUAUCACAAUUUAGAAAUUUAUAGUUGGGGCUAAUCUCUCAUAACCUAUUUAAACCCUAAAAUCUAACAAGAGAACUACUCAGACAUGGUCAAGCAAUUCAUAGCAGCAAUAAGGUAUAAAAACUGCAUAGAUAAAUAAAUAGAUAUCAAUGGAGUUCCAAUCACAAAUAUCUUUGGAUCUUCUCUCCAAUCUACUAGACAUCCUAGAAAAUCUUUUCCUGUGAAAAUAGUAAAACAAGAAAGCACACUUUGUCUCCAACAUGUUGACAAAGCUUAUAUAAUAAGGUUAAAACUCGUCAGGGGUAAUCUUGUAAAUUGGUGAAUACUUGGGCUCUAAGUCGGCUGAAAUCAAACGGGCUUUCUACGCGAUUCGCCAUCGAUCGAUGUCACAGGAUGUGCAUCGAUCGAUUAUUCUCUGAGUGUCGACCGAUGGUCAGCUCGGAUGCUUUCUCCAAAUGUCUCCAAAAUACUCCAAAAUCAUCACUUUCUCCCAAAU
rnacentral:lncRNA from 1 species